UCUGAGAGUUUGAUCCUGGCUCAGGACGAACGCUGGCGGCGUGCUUAACACAUGCAAGUCGAACGAUGAACCUGGAGCUUGCUCCAGGGGAUUAGUGGCGAACGGGUGAGUAACACGUGAGUAACCUGCCCUUGACUCUGGGAUAACCUCCGGAAACGGAAGCUAAUACCGGAUAUGACGCACGGAGGCAUCUCCUGUGCGUGGAAAGAACUUCGGUCAAGGAUGGACUCGCGGCCUAUCAGGUAGUUGGUGAGGUAACGGCUCACCAAGCCUACGACGGGUAGCCGGCCUGAGAGGGUGACCGGCCACACUGGGACUGAGACACGGCCCAGACUCCUACGGGAGGCAGCAGUGGGGAAUAAUGCACAAUGGGCGCAAGCCUGAUGCAGCAACGCCGCGUGAGGGAUGACGGCCUUCGGGUUGUAAACCUCUUUUAGUAGGGAAGAAGCGAAAGUGACGGUACCUGCAGAAAAAGCACCGGCUAACUACGUGCCAGCAGCCGCGGUAAUACGUAGGGUGCGAGCGUUGUCCGGAAUUAUUGGGCGUAAAGAGCUCGUAGGCGGUCUGUCGCGUCUGCUGUGAAAACCCGAGGCUCAACCUCGGGCCUGCAGUGGGUACGGGCAGACUAGAGUGCGGUAGGGGAGAAUGGAAUUCCUGGUGUAGCGGUGGAAUGCGCAGAUAUCAGAGGAACACCGAUGGCGAAGGCAGUUCUCUGGGCCGUAACUGACGCUGA
rnacentral:rRNA from 1 species